GUUCCCUCGUCGUUUUGUUCCAGCUUUCUUGGACCGAUGAGAAAACAGCGGAGCUGAUUUAUCUCUGCUCGGAAAUUUACUUCCUCCUCAUGGGGAAGAGGCACAAUGCCAAGAAAGCCUGGACGUGAGUUGUCAGUUUUGGUGUAUCAUGUUGACCAACAGAAACACCUGAGCUCAGUCAUCCAUGCACUGUCGAGAUAAAGUUACCUUUGAAGGUUGUGGUAUAUUCCGGCAUUUUUAGUCAGAAAUCCCCUUUGACUGACAUUAAACUCAUAUUGUAAGUGACAGUACAAAGGAUGAAAUAGACUGACCUAAUAUUUUGCCUUACAUUGAAAUUAUCCAGCUUCUUGGCCUAGAGGGGCAAGUCUCCAUAAAGUGUCAAAGAAAUGGGACAACCUAAAAAAGAAGUAUAUGGAGCUGAGGAAUCCCCCUACAGAAACAGGGACUGACAGGGGGGAGGCCACGACUGCAACUUGGCCAUGGUUUUCCCUCAUGCAUGAGGCCACUGGGGCGUAGCUCUGCAUUGAGCUGCCGGUCCUGAUGGACUCACAUGUGUGCAGGAAAGCCAUGAGCCCGAAGCUGCCAUGGCCUCCACACAUGGCUCAUCAUCUGCAGUUUGUCACCGGGCUCGUGACGAGGAGGAAGAGGAACAGCCUGGCACAAGCUGUGGAUCCAGCACACAGGCAGAUGAUGGGCAAUCAACCUCUUCCUGCCCCCCCGCCUAAAAAAGGGCAACAAGAGGGGAUCUGCUGCAGAAGGAGGAUGAACGCUUCAAGGCAGCAAAAUAAGCUACAACAAUUUUUAAACUUUUACAGGAUUUAGUUUAAAAAUAACAUUUUAUUAAGUAAAAUUUAAUUUCUGUCUUUAUGUU